rnacentral:rRNA from 1 species
UGAGGAAUAUUGGUCAAUGGGCGAGAGCCUGAACCAGCCAAGUAGCGUGCAGGAUGACGGCCCUAUGGGUUGUAAACUGCUUUUAUAUGGGAAUAAAGUGAGGGACGUGUCCCUUAUUGCAUGUACCAUACGAAUAAGGACCGGCUAAUUCCGUGCCAGCAGCCGCAGUAAUACGGAAGGUCCAGGCGUUAUCCGGAUUUAUUGGGUUUAAAGGGAGCGUAGGCUGUUUGUUAAGCGUGUUGUGAAAUGUAGGAGCUCAACUUUUAGAUUGCAGCGCGAACUGGCAGACUUGAGUGCGCACAACGUAGGCGGAAUUCAUGGUGUAGCGGUGAAAUGCUUAGAUAUCAUGACGAACUCCGAUUGCGAAGGCAGCUUACGGGAGCGCAACUGACGCUAAAGCUCGAAGGUGCGGGUAUCGAACAGG